UACGUAGGGUGCGAGCGUUGUCCGGAAUUAUUGGGCGUAAAGAGCUCGUAGGCGGUUUGUCGCGUCUGCUGUGAAAACUCGGGGCUUAACCCCGGGCCUGCAGUGGGUACGGGCAGACUAGAGUGCGGUAGGGGAGACUGGAAUUCCUGGUGUGGCGGUGAAAUGCGCAGAUAUCAGGAGGAACACCGGUGGCGAAGGCGGGUCUCUGGGCCGUAACUGACGCUAAGGAGCGAAAGCGUGGGGAGCGAACAGG
rnacentral:rRNA from 1 species